AGAGUUUGAUCAUGGCUCAGGACGAACGCUGGCGGCGUGCUUAACACAUGCAAGUCGCACGGGAGCAGCAAUGCUCUAGUGGCGAACGGGUGCGUAACACGUGAGAAAUCUGUCCAUCGGCGGGGGAUAGCCGGCCCAACGGCCGGGUAAUACCGCGUACGUCGGCGGGAACGCAUGUUCCUGCCGGGAAAGCAGCAAUGCACCGAUGGAGGAUCUCGCGGCCUAUCAGCUUGUUGGCGGGGUAAUGGCCCACCAAGGCGACGACGGGUAGCUGGUCUGAGAGGAUGAUCAGCCACAUUGGGACUGAGACACGGCCCAGACUCCUACGGGAGGCAGCAGUGGGGAAUAUUGCGCAAUGGGCGAAAGCCUGACGCAGCGACGCCGCGUGUGGGAUGAAGGCCUUCGGGUUGUAAACCACUGUCGGGGGGGACGAAACAAAUGACGGUACCCCCAAAGGAAGCACCGGCUAACUCUGUGCCAGCAGCCGCGGUAAUACAGAGGGUGCGAGCGUUGUCCGGAAUUACUGGGCGUAAAGGGCGCGUAGGCGGCUUGAUAAGUAGGGGGUGAAAUUCCAUGGCUCAACCAUGGAUCGGCCUUCUAGACUGUCAGGCUUGAGCACGGUAGAGGCAGAUGGAAUUCCCGGUGUAGCGGUGGAAUGCGUAGAGAUCGGGAAGAACACCAGUGGCGAAAGCGGUCUGCU
rnacentral:rRNA from 1 species